GACGAACGCUGGCGGCGUGCUUAACACAUGCAAGUCGAACGGAAAGGCCCUGCUUUUGUGGGGUGCUCGAGUGGCGAACGGGUGAGUAACACGUGAGUAACCUGCCCUUGACUUUGGGAUAACUUCAGGAAACUGGGGCUAAUACCGGAUUGGAGCUCCUGCUGCAUGGUGGGGGUUGGAAAGUUUCGGCGGUUGGGGAUGGACUCGCGGCUUAUCAGCUUGUUGGUGGGGUAGUGGCUUACCAAGGCUUUGACGGGUAGCCGGCCUGGGAGGGUGACCGGCCACAGUGGGACUGAGGUACGACCCAGACUGCUACGGGAGGCAGCAGUGGGGAAUAUUGCACAAUAGGCGGAAGCCUGAUGCAGCAACGCCGCGUGCGGGAUGACGGCCUUCGGGUUGUAAACCGCUUUCGCCUGUGACGAAGCGUGAGUGACGGUAAUGGGUAAAGAAGCACCGGCUAACUACGUG
rnacentral:rRNA from 1 species